UCGUAUAAUACCUCACGAGAGAUGCC
rnacentral:piRNA from 1 species